rnacentral:rRNA from 1 species
GGAGUCUGGGCCGUGUCUCAGUCCCAGUGUGGCCGAUCAUCCUCUCAAACCGGCUACAGAUCGUCGCCUUGGUCAGCUCUUACCUAACCAACUAGCUAAUCUGAUAUGGGCCAUUCUCUCGGCAAUAAAUCUUUCCCCCUUAGGGCUUAUGCGGUAUUAUCACCCGUUUCCAGAUGUUAUCCCCCACCAAAAGGUAUGUUCCCAUAUGUUCCUCACCCGUCCGCUACUGCUGUAUUGCUACAACCGUUCAAACUUGCAUGUAUUAGGCCUGCCGCCAGCGUUCAAU